rnacentral:lncRNA from 1 species
UUUAACAAACUUAUAAAUCUAAGAGAUUAUGAAAUUAUAAAAGACUUCUUUCUUUUAUUAGCUUUAGAAAAUUCCUCAAAACUAAAGCUUACACAAACUCUCAAAUCUCUCAUCUAAAGUCAUAACUCGACUUCUCUAUUUAUAUAAAACCAAAACCUUAUUCCUAAUUCAAAUAGGACUUAUAAAACCUCUUAAUCCUAAUCCAUAUCUCGGUAGGAUUAUAAUAACUUGUUCUCCAAGUUAACUUCACUUCUUCUUCAAGCUUAACUCAACA